rnacentral:rRNA from 1 species
CGGUAACAGGAAGAAGCUUGCUUCUUUGCUGACGAGUGGCGGACGGGUGAGUAAUGUCUGGGAAACUGCCUGAUGGAGGGGGAUAACUACUGGAAACGGUAGCUAAUACCGCAUAACGUCGCAAGACCAAAGAGGGGGACCUUCGGGCCUCUUGCCAUCGGAUGUGCCCAGAUGGGAUUAGCUAGUAGGUGGGGUAACGGCUCACCUAGGCGACGAUCCCUAGCUGGUCUGAGAGGAUGACCAGCCACACUGGAACUGAGACACGGUCCAGACUCCUACGGGAGGCAGCAGUGGGGAAUAUUGCACAAUGGGCGCAAGCCUGAUGCAGCCAUGCCGCGUGUAUGAAGAAGGCCUUCGGGUUGUAAAGUACUUUCAGCGGGGAGGAAGGGAGUAAAGUUAAUACCUUUGCUCAUUGACGUUACCCGCAGAAGAAGCACCGGCUAACUCCGUGCCAGCAGCCGCGGUAAUACGGAGGGUGCAAGCGUUAAUCGGAAUUACUGGGCGUAAAGCGCACGCAGGCGGUUUGUUAAGUCAGAUGUGAAAUCCCCGGGCUCAACCUGGGAACUGCAUCUGAUACUGGCAAGCUUGAGUCUCGUAGAGGGGGGUAGAAUUCCAGGUGUAGCGGUGAAAUGCGUAGAGAUCUGGAGGAAUACCGGUGGCGAAGGCGG